UUGCUUCCAAAGCACAUGCGCAGAGAGCCUGUUUCCAGGCACCUAGCUGGGAAGGGGCGCAGCCCGCGCCGAGGCCUGGGAGAUCUACUGCGUACGCAGGCGCACUCAGCGAUCUUCCGCUUCUUUGAGCCCUCCGCCCCCGCAGGCCCGGGGUGGGACGUGGAGGGGAGUGGUGCGGUGUUAGGAGUGAGCGUAAAUGUAGCGAGAAGGUGUGCGUCUCGCAAGCCCUUCACAGCCGUAGCCGUCGUCUCUGAUCCGCAAGAGUCAUGCUAUCCAACACCGGAAUUGUACGUGCGGAAAAAGUGGAGAAUCAUUAAGGUUCUUGAGCUUUUCCCCAUGACAUUUCACCUGGAACCUGCAUGCUGUCAGCCGCGUAGUUCCCAGGCCGGAAUGUUUGCGUUCAGGAAGCUAGCAGGAUGUACCCUUUUCAUCACAGGUGCCAGUCGUGGCAUUGGUAAAGCUAUUGCAUUAAAAGCAGCAAAGGAUGGAGCGAAUAUUGUCAUUGCCGCGAAGACUGCCCAAGCACACCCCAAGCUUCCAGGCACAAUCUAUACUGCUGCUGAAGAAAUUGAAGCAGCUGGAGGAAAGGCCUUGCCAUGUGUUGUUGAUGUGAGAGAUGAACAGCAAAUCGAGGACGCAGUGGAGAAAGCAGUGGAGAAAUUUGGAGGAAUUGAUAUUUUGGUGAAUAAUGCCAGUGCUAUUACCUUGAGCAACACGUUGGAUACCCCUACAAAGAAAGUGGAUUUGAUGAUGAGCGUCAACACCAGAGGCACCUACCUUACAUCUAAAGCGUGUAUUCCUCAUUUGAAAAAGAGUAAAAUUGCUCAUAUCCUCAACCUCAGCCCUCCGCUGAACCUAAAUCCAUUGUGGUUCAAACAGCACUGUGCUUAUACCAUUGCUAAGUAUGGUAUGUCUAUGUGUGUACUUGGAAUGGCAGAAGAAUUUAAAGGCGAAAUUGCAGUCAAUGCAUUAUGGCCUAAAACAGCCAUACACACUGCUGCUAUGGAUAUGCUGGGAGGAUCCGGUAUUGAAAGCCAGUGUAGAAAAGUUGAUAUCAUUGCAGACGCUGCAUAUUCCAUUUUCAAAAAGCCGAAAAAUUUUACUGGCAACUUUAUUAUUGACGAAAAUAUCUUAAGAGAAGAAGGAAUAAAAAAUUUUGAUGUCUAUGCAGUUAAACCAGGUCAUCCUUUGAUACCAGAUUUCUUCUUAGAUGAACUCCCAGAUGCAGUUACCAAGAAAAUGGAAUCACGUGAUGCUGCUCCAGCAUUCAAAGAAGGGAAGCAGGCACCACAACCAAAAGCAGCUUCUGGAUCUGUGGCAGAAACCUUUAGAAUUGUCAAGGAGACUCUCAGUGAUGACGUUGUUAAAGCUACUCAAGCGGUCUAUCAGUUUGAUCUCUCAGGUGAAGAUGGUGGAACAUGGUUUCUUGAUCUUAAAAGCAAGGGUGGGAAUGUUGGAUAUGGACAGCCCCCUGACCAGGCAGAUGUGGUGAUGAGUAUGUCUACUGAAGAUUUUAUGAAAAUGUUUUCUGUCUAGGAGGCCGGAAGUCCAAAUUCAGAGAGCCAGCUCCAGUGGAAAGCUUUUUCUCUCUGUCAGCUCUGGGAGAAGAUCCUUAUUGGAAACUAAAACCAACAAUGGCAUUCAUGUCAGGAAAAUUGAAGAUUAAAGGUAACAUGGCCCUAGCAAUCAAAUUGGAGAAGUUAAUGAAUCAGAUCAGUUCACGACUGUGAAGGAAAGAAAAAAAAAAAAAAAAAAAUGUCCACCACUAAGCUCAACAAGUAAAAAGCUCAACUUCUUAAAAUCUAAUCGCUUGUUUUCUUCCCUGUUGUAUAAUAAGGAUAUAUGCAUGUUUGUCUUGGAAAAAAUGGAAUUUAUCUGUAAGGAUUGAAAUUGCAAUUAAAACAGCUAGCUAAUCAAAUAUAAGCUUCAUUAGAUGGAAUUCUAAGACAUUCAGAUUUUUGCAUCUGUGGGUUUUGUUCUCAGAGCCUUAUAUCUCGUUCACAAUUUUCUUCUAGGAAAAGUAUAAUAAGCAAUCAAUCCAGGUCAAGCAGUAAAAUUAUCUCUUUUCGUAGGUUCUUCCCAUGUAGUUAGUCUGUUUAAAAUUUUUAGUUUUGGAUUGUAUACUAGUGAGAAUCUUAAUGGUGUUUUCAACCUUUAUAUGCUUAUUUUAACAAAUAUCUACAAUGUAUUUUUACAGAAAUCACAUAAUAAACUACUUAAUAAAUACUACUUCUGAGUAUUAAAUGAAACAAAAACACUGAGUUUUU